ensembl:snRNA U6 U6 spliceosomal RNA
GUGCUCACUUCAGCAGCACAGAUACUUAUAUUGGAAUAGAGUGAAGAGGAGCAUGAUUCCUAUGCAAGAAUGUCAUGCAAAUUCAUGAAACAUUUCAUAUUUUU